rnacentral:piRNA from 1 species
UUAUUAUUAUUGAACGCAGGUGGA